GGCCUUGACAACGACUCCGCAUGGUGUCUCAGUAGUUGUUCCGUUGCCUUCUGUACCUUCGCUGUCGUCUGAAUUGUGCUGUAGCCAAGGGAAUCUGAAGAGGACAUCGCCGUAAUAGGAGAGGAAACACAGAGCAUCGCCUUAUUACGGACUUACAAUUCAUCCAAGAAAAAGUGUCUGAGAAGCACAAGGCGUGGCGAAUGACUUCUACCAAGAGCCUCGACGUGGGUGAUUUUGCCGUGUUCGGCAUCCUCACUGUUCUCGGAUACGUGGUCGGCCUGUACUUCUCUGUGUCUCGGCGCAGCCUCCAGGUGGCGCACAUCGAAGGCGGUGGUCAUGCCAGCGCCGAAGUGGAUGCUUUCCUUGGUGGCCGCAGCCUUCCGGCGUCCGCUCUGGCCGUCUCACUGGUGGCGUCUGUGGUGACCGGCGUAAACGUCGUGAGCUUCGUGGGCCACUUAUACGCGCAUGGUUUUCACCUGCUAUGGACCAUGGCCGCGAUACCGGUGGCAAUGGUUGUAACGUCCACCACACUGGUACCGCUGCUUUACGAUAUGCGGGCGGCGUCUGUG